AUCGAACGCUGGCGGCAGGCCUAACACAUGCAAGUCGAACGAGUGGCGGACGGGUGAGUAAUGUCUGGGAAACUGCCUCAUGGAGGGGGAUAACUACUGGAAACGGUAGCCAAUACCGCAUACCAUCGGAUGUGCCCAGAUGGGAUUAGCGAGUGGGUGGGGUAAAGGCUAACCUAGGCGACGAUGCCUAGCUGGUCUGUGGGGAUGAACAGCGACAGUGGAAUGGGUACACGGGCACGAUCCCAACGGUGGGAAGCGGUGGGGAAUAUUGGAAAAUGGUGGCAAGCCUGAUGCAGCCAUGCCGCGGGGAGGAAGCAGGCCUUCGGUUUGUAAAGUACGUUCAGCGGGGAGGCGGUACCCGCAGAAGAAGCACCGGCUAACUCCGUGCCAGCAGCCGCGGUAAUUC
rnacentral:rRNA from 1 species